rnacentral:pre_miRNA from 1 species
UAUAAGGAUUUUGAGUUUUUACAUGUAACGUUUGACCACUCGUCUUAUUCAAAUUUUUUUGAAAUUAUUAUUUAUUUUAUUUGUGACUUACUUUAUUAUCUACAAUACUUUAAGCACAACUUUUUGUUUUUUAUAUUUGCAAAAAAAAUUGAAUAAGACGAGUGGUCAAACGUUACAAUCAAAAACUCAAAAUCCCUUAUA